AGUGGUCCAAGAUUUCUCAUCUCCAGUACAUAUAUUUAGAUUGAUUACCCUUUUUUUUUCUCCUCUUUCGGCAUGGACAACAAACAAGCUUUAUCUGUGAAUUCUCUGUUCUCCCAGGAUGUUGUUUAUGAAUAAAUGAUCAUCUUAUGUUGUUUGAAGUCUACACAAGGGUGGAUUGCCUUAAUCUGAGAAAGUUCAGAUAAUUCCGUGGAAAGUGGAAACUUUUGGAUUAUAAAUCA
rnacentral:misc_RNA from 1 species